CAGGUGGUGCAUGGUUGUCGUCAGCUCGUGUCGUGAGAUGUUGGUUAAGUCCCGCAACGAGCGCAACCCUCGACCUUAGUUGCCAGCAUUCAGUUGGGCACUCUAAGGUGACUGCCGGCUAAAAGUCGGAGGAAGGUGGGGAUGACGUCAAAUCAUCAUGCCCCUUAUGACCUGGGCUACACACGUGCUACAAUGGGCGGUACAAAGGGUCGCGAACCCGCGAGGGGGGAGCCAAUCCCAAAAAAGCCGCUCUCAGUUCGGAUUGCAGGCUGCAACUCGCCUGCAUGAAGCCGGAAUCGCUAGUAAUCGCGGAUCAGCAUGCCGCGGUGAAUACGUUCCCGGGCCUU
rnacentral:rRNA from 1 species